GAUGAAGUGCUUGCACUUCUGACGUUAGCGGCGAACGGGUGAGUAACACGUAAGGAAUCUACCUAUAAGCGGGGGAUAACAUUCGGAAACGGGUGCUAAUACCGCAUAAUAUCUUCUUCCGCAUGGAAGAAGAUUGAAAGACGGCUCUGCUGUCACUUAUAGAUGACCUUGCGGUGCAUUAGUUAGUUGGUGGGGUAAUGGCCUACCAAGACGAUGAUGCAUAGCCGACCUGAGAGGGUGAUCGGCCACAUUGGGACUGAGACACGGCCCAAACUCCUACGGGAGGCAGCAGUAGGGAAUCUUCCGCAAUGGGCGAAAGCCUGACGGAGCAAUGCCGCGUGAGUGAAGAAGGCCUUCGGGUCGUAAAACUCUGUUAUAAGAGAAGAACAAAUUGUAGAGUAACUGCUACAGUCUUGACGGUAUCUUAUCAGAAAGCCACGGCUAACUACGUGCCAGCAGCCGCGGUAAUACGUAGGUGGCAAGCGUUGUCCGGAUUUAUUGGGCGUAAAGGGAGCGCAGGUGGUUUCUUAAGUCUGAUGUGAAAGCCCACGGCUUAACCGUGGAGGGUCAUUGGAAACUGGGAAACUUGAGUACAGAAGAGGAAUGUGGAACUCCAUGUGUAGCGGUGGAAUGCGUAGAUAUAUGGAAGAACACCAGUGGCGAAGGCGACAUUCUGGUCUGUUACUGACACUGAGGCUCGAAAGCGU
rnacentral:rRNA from 1 species